GACGAACGCUGGCGGCGUGCCUAAUACAUGCAAGUUGAGCGAUGAAGAUUGGUGCUUGCCCCAAUUUGAAGAGCAGCGAACGGGUGAGUAACGCGUGGGGAAUCUGCCUUUGAGCGGGGGACAACAUUUGGAAACGAAUGCUAAUACCGCAUAACAACUUUAAACAUAAGUUUUAAGUUUGAAAGAUGCAAUUGCAUCACUCAAAGAUGAUCCCGCGUUGUAUUAGCUAGUUGGUGAGGUAAAGGCUCACCAAGGCGAUGAUACAUAGCCGACCUGAGAGGGUGAUCGGCCAAAUUGGGACUGAGACACGGCCCAAACUCCUACGGGAGGCAGCAGUAGGGAAUCUUCGGCAAUGGACGAAAGUCUGGCCGAGCAACGCCGCGUGAGUGAAGAAGGUUUUCGGAUCGUAAAACUCUGUUGGUAGAGGAGAAAGUUGGUGAGAGUGGAAAGCUCAUAAAGUGACGGUAACUACCCAGAAAGGGACGGCUAACUACGUG
rnacentral:rRNA from 1 species